rnacentral:rRNA from 1 species
GACGAACGCUGGCGGCGUGCUUAACACAUGCAAGUCGAACGGAAAGGCCCUUCUUUUGUUGGUUGCUCGAGUGGCGAACGGGUGAGUAACAAGUGAGUAACCUUCCCUUUACUUUUGGAUAACUUCAGGAAACUGUGGUUAAUACCGGAUAUGAUCUCCUGCUGCAUGGUGGGGGUUGGAAUGUUUCGGCGGUUGGGGAUGGACUCGCGGCUUAUAAGCUUGUUGGUGGGGUAGUGGCUUACAAAGGCUUUGGCGGGUAGCCGGCCUGAGAGGGUGACCGGCAACAUGGGGACGGGGAUACGGCCAAGACUCCUACGGGAGGAAGAAGUGGGGAUUAUGGAAAAAUGGGGGGAAGCCGGAUGCAGAAACGCCGCGUGCGGGAGGAGGGCCUUCGGGUGGUAAACGGCUUUAGCAUGUGACGAAGCGUGAGUGACGGUAAUGGGUAAAGAAGCACCGGCUAACUACGUG